AGAAUUCACAGCUCUUCACUUUUUCUUCUGCAACCACAUUCAACCUUUGAUGGAUAGGAGGGGUAGGAAGCAGAGGCAUACAAUCUUUCCCAAUUCUUUCUUCUUCCAUUGAAUUCUUCUCCUUAUUUAUCAUCAUGCUUGACUUUUCAAAUUUUUGAUCCAUUCCAAGAACCAUUGAGUCCAUCCUUUUGUCUCUUUCCAUCAUUUCUUCUCGUACCUGUAGUUGCAGUUUUCUUACAUCUUUCAUGACUUUGUGCAGCUUGAUUUCUUGCCUCUUGAGAUGGACUUCUAGUGUCUUAAAACAGGUACUUUUUGCCACUGUAGUUUCAAGAGCUGCUGAGGAAGAAAUAUGUUACAUUUCACUACCAAAUAUUUCAAUCGGUGAUCUAGGUAUGAAUUCUAUACAAAAUUCUAGGGAAGGGAUGAGAAAAUAUGAUGAAGUCAUGUUAAAUUGUCAAUUACUGGAUAAUAAAUGAAACUCAUGGAAUUUGUAUACGAGAAAAUGUUGAUAUUGAGUCUCAAGACCUGCAAUUGAUGGAAGGAAAAAAUAAUAUGCAAGAUAAAGUAGAUGUACCUAGUAUAUUGCAGCAGUGGUCUAUUGUUGAAAAGAAUUGGGUAAAUUACAUUUUACCCCCCUGUGAUUUACCCUUUUUUUACAUAACCCCCAUAUGGUUUCAAAAGCUAUACAUAACCCCCUCAUGGUUUGGAUUAAAGUGUCAAAGUAACGGAAAUAGUCACUCGUAACGGAAUUUCUAAAAAUGUCGAAAUUACCCUUAUAAAUACAUGACACAUUAACCCCGUAUGAUUUUUAUAUUUUACCAUAUAACCCCCUUAUGGUUUAAUACUUUACCAUAUAAUCCCCUUAUGAUUUUCAAAAUAUACACAUAACGCCCCUUGGUUAAUACAUAAAUUUCAACUUUACAUAAGGGUAUUUUUGACAUUUUAGGUGACGCCGUUAUGAAUUAUCAUUCCCGUCACUUUGACACUUUAAUCCAAAUCAUAAGGGGGUUAUAUAUAGCUUUUGAAAUCAUAGGGGGGUUACGUGAAAAAAUGCUAAACCACAGGGGGAUAAAGUAGAAUUUGCCCAAAAGAAUAAGAAAGGGUUUGAAGAACUCAGAUCAUUGAUGUUAUUAGGAGGUCUUGGAUUGGCAGAGUCUUGUGUAGUUACUUUCUCAAAGAUAGAGACCCAAUUUGUGCUACAAUUCUUUAAACUAAGAGACUUCAUGGAGGUUUUUAUAGGUUCUCUCCUUCAAGAGUAUUUGGCUGGAAUUAUCAGUAAGGAGUCCAAAAUUGUAAUGAAACCAUGGUCUCAAAUAGCCACUGGCUUCAAAUGUGGCACUGGUGUUGGAGAAGACUACAAAUUCUCAAACCAAAUUUUAUCAAGCAAGAUUCUUCAAGCCGCAAUUUGGGAUAUGAAUAUGAUAAUGCUUCAUAUUCCCUUAGCAAGAUCUAGAAACAAUUUGAGCCUUUUCUCUGUUGAGAACUUUGAUGAGGUGUUAGUUAAUUUGGAAGUGUAGGAAACCUGAUAUUCAAUUUUGGAAGUGAAGGAAGAACUGUGAUGCAAUUUUCUCAACCAUGUUUUCUGACAACUUAGCUAAUCUUAGUCAAGUCUCCAAGAAAUUUUUCACAGAGCAUGAUGGUAAAUUUUCUCCAUGAAAGAGGUGUCGAAAUUACAUAGUUGAAGGUGCAUGUAUUCCUGUAUAAGUGGGAUCAAGAGACCAAUUGCAGGCAUGUAGUAGAAGCGAGAUGCCAUAUUACAAUAUUUCGGCUGAGGUUGAAUCUUAUGGAGGUAUUAGAUAAUCAAAUUGUGUGUCGCGCCCCAUUUUUCGUGAUGGAAAAAUAAGUAUAAAAAUAGGUAUUUACAAAAGAUGUGAUUUUAUUUUAAAAUAAAUGAAAAGGACCUAGAAUGGGACUUAAAAAAAAUGCGACAAUUUGGGUCCAAAAUUUAGUCUAAAAGGGUUUUUAAGAAAAAAAUAGGAGUCGCCACUUGGUAUUGAGUUUUGGUGUACCAAGUCACCCAAAAAUAUUUUUUGAUAAAAAUAAAAUAAAAUAAAACCCCUUUUUGACAACUCCAGGUUUUUGAAAAACAAAAGAAAAAGGGUUCGGGAGUUACGGUUGAAGAAAGGGAAGGCAAAUGUUCGAUUAACUCAAACCUAAGGCACCCUUUCAACCUAGUCUAAGCUAGUUGCGAGGUUUAGUCAAAAUUUUCCUAAUCUAACCCUUAAUUUUAUCAUGUUUGGAUGUUUCCUACAUGGAUGCAAAUCUAAAUAUCGAAAGGGACAAAAUGUUCAUUCAAGAGUUUAAUUUAACCAAUCGUAUUAAUUGCGAAGGCCAAAAUAAUUCCUUGAAAGUGUCACGAGUAUGUAAAUGAUUAAAGUAAAAGAAAAGAAAAGAAAUUAAAUUAUAUACAUAGAUAUAAGUGAUCAAAGAAAAAGGGAAUGCAACAUAAAGGGUACGGGAGGCAAAAACUCGUGACAUGAUUUUCUUAUCCAGGGAUUAAUGGAACAUUUAAACUAAAAAGUUAUAAUCUCCCAUUUCCCAUGUUUGAAAAAUAAUUUUCCUAACAUGCACAAGCAAAUGAGCUAUCUUAUUAUACAAUGUCCUAAAUGAAAUGCAAUUCUAAAUGACAUGAUUAACACAUAUAGAGGAUAGGGGAUAAUAUAAUAGAAAAUAUCAUGCAAAUGGGAAAAGAUCCUAAAAAUGAAAAUAUGCGUGAAAAUGUAAUGAAUAUCACAUAAAAAUGAGUCUAACGCACGAACGAUCUAAGAGUCUAGCAUUGGACUAGUCCAUUUCUAAAAAUCCUUACUAGCGUUGGACUAGCAAAUAAGCAGAGGGGAAAAGCCACAACUAGCAUUGGAGUAGUGUGGUGACGUCAUGCAUUUUUAAUACAUAAUAAGACAAGUAGGCAUAAAUUAAAACAAAUAGACACAUAAGAGCACGUAGCACGUAACACAUAAGCAUAAUAUCUAGAUGCAAAAAUUCUAAGGAAAGCGGGUAAGACACGUAACACAUAAGCCACAUAAACACACAACCUACCUAUUACAUCGGGGAGCGCCUAACUACAAUCUAAAAGGGGAAAUAAAAUAAAACAAAUCUAAUUAUCCUAUCUAUUACAUUUUUGAGGUAUUUAAAUGCCUAUCAAAUAAUUAUAAAAUUAACUAAGCAAACGUAAGAAAAUUUAAAUGAACAUUCAAAUCAAAUAAACAAAAUAUAUAAAAAAUAUAUAAACACAUAGGAACACGUAGGAGCACAUAGGAGCACGUAAUUGACAUUGAAAUAAUAAUAGGGGUACCUCCCUUUUGAAGUGGUGACUAAAUGGAGUCAAAUUGCCCUAUUUAUACUCACAAUGAACAAAAGAAUC
rnacentral:lncRNA from 1 species